UGCGCAUUGAACGUGGUUUCUACUUGAUGUUGACUUCCGGGUCAAACGUCCUUCGAAUGAAUUUCUUUUAAUCAGCUGAUAAUAAUAAUAAUACAUUUAUAACACUUAAAAUACGUACUUAUAAUGCAUUUCUCAACUGCCAUAUACACACGUAUAUAAACAACACUGUCCUCUAUGAAACAUUUGCAACAUCAGAUGACAGAAGAAGAAUCCUAAAUAUCUACAAGGUUUUAAAGACUAAAGGAAAAUAUUAUACAAAACGGAUAUAUAACAUUGUUUCUACCAAUCUGUCUCUUGAAAAAUAUUUGCUCUGGAAUAAUAAUAUUAGCAACAUUUCUGAGCAUCUCUGACUGGAAUGUCAGGAAAAAGUGCUUGCGUGCUGAUUAAAGUUGGAUAAAUUUAUGGAAGUGUUGCUAAACAACGGUAACACUGGACAGAAAUACAGCAGCAGAAGUGUACGUAAGGAGUAAAGUAUAAAAACGAAAGCAAGAAAAAUAUAUUAACUGGGAUUUGAGAGGAAAAGUAAUAGAAAAGAGAGAGAAAAUUAUAGAAUUGGUUUUCCCCUGAACACAUGAGAAAAUAGACGAGAUCAUAUGACUGUGAUAUCUGUACAAAGUCCUUCUCUCGAAAAAGCAACCUAAUUAUGCACAAACAUACUCAUACAGGUGAGAAACCAUAUCGUUGUGAUAUCUGUGGUAAAUCAUUCUC